GCUCCCGUGGCCAAGUGGUAACGCUUAUGACUUUGAUUUGUUAGGUCAUGGGUUCGAGGCCCACCAUGGAUGGAAGUU